UACGGAGGGGGCUAGCGUUGUUCGGAAUUACUGGGCGUAAAGCGCGCGUAGGCGGACCUGCAAGUCGGGGGGUGAAAGCCCGAGGCUCAACCUCGGAACUGCCUUCGAUACUGCGGGUCUCGAGUCCGGGAGAGGUGAGUGGAAUUCCUAGUGUAGAGGUGAAAUUCGUAGAUAUUAGGAAGAACACCAGUGGCGAAGGCGGCUCACUGGCCCGGUACUGACGCUGAGGCGGCGAAAGCGUGGGGAGCAAACAGG
rnacentral:rRNA from 1 species